rnacentral:rRNA from 1 species
UACGUAGGGUGCAAGCGUUUGUCCGGAAUUAUUGGGCGUAAAGAGCUCGUAGGCGGUCUGUCGCGUCUGCUGUGAAAACUCAGGGCUUAACCCUGAGCUUGCAGUGGGUACGGGCAGACUAGAGUGCGGAAGGGGCUACUGGAAUUCUCGGUGUAGCGGUGAAAUGCGUAGAUAUCGAGAGGAACACCUGCGGCGAAGGCGGGUAGCUGGGCCGACACUGACGCUGAGGCGCGAAAGCCAGGGGAGCGAACAGG